ACCUUUGACAUGUACGGAAUCCUUCAGAGAUGAGGGAGUGCUCGAAAGAGAGCCGUAACACAGGUGCUGCAUGGCUGUCGUCAGCUCGUGUCGUGAGAUGUUGGGUUAAGUCCCGCAACGAGCGCAACCCUUGCCAUUAGUUGCUACGAAAGGGCACUCUAAUGGGACUGCCGGUGACAAACCGGAGGAAGGUGGGGAUGACGUCAAGUCCUCAUGGCCCUUAUAGGUGGGGCUACACACGUCAUACAAUGGCUGGUACAGAGGGUUGCCAACCCGCGAGGGGGAGCCAAUCCCAUAAAGCCAGUCGUAGUCCGGAUCGCAGUCUGCAACUCGACUGCGUGAAGUCGGAAUCGCUAGUAAUCGCGGAUCAGAAUGUCGCGGUGAAUACGUUCCCGGGUCUUGUACACACCGCCCGUCACACCAUGGGAGCGGGUCUCGCCAGAAGUAGGUAGCCUAACCGCAAGGAGGGCGCUUACCACGGCGGGGUUCGUGACUGGGGUGAAGUCGUAACAAGGUAGGCGUAGUGCU
rnacentral:rRNA from 1 species